rnacentral:rRNA from 1 species
CGGGACGGGUGAGUAAUGCUUGGGUAAGUCUAGCUUAUGGAGGGGGAUAACUACGGGAAACUGUAGCUAAUACCGCGUAAUAUCGAAAGAUUAAAGUGUGGGACCUUCGGGCCACAUGCCAUAGGAUGAGCCCAAGUGGGAUUAGGUAGUUGGUGAGGUAAAGGCUCACCAAGCCGACGAUCUCUAGCUGGUCUGAGAGGAUGACCAGCCACACUGGGACUGAGACACGGCCCAG